GACCGUGUGGCCUAAUGGUUAAGGAAUUAGGAUCAGAAGAUUGGGGGUUCAAGACCCUUCAUGGUCA